GAUGAACGCUGGCGGCGUGCCUAAUACAUGCAAGUCGAGCGAACAGAUGAGGAUCUUGCGCUUCUGACGUUAGCGGCGGACGGGUGAGUAACACGUGGAUAACCUACCUCUAUGACUGGGAUAACUUCGGGAAACGGGAGCUAAUACCGGAUACUAUAUUGAACCGCAUGGUUCAAUAGUGAAAGACGGUUUUGCUGUCACUUAUAGAUGGAUCCGCGCCGCAUUAGCUAGUUGGUAAGGUAACGGCUUACCAAGGCAACGAUGCGUAGCCGACCUGAGAGGGUGAUCGGCCACACUGGAACUGAGACACGGUCCAGACUCCUACGGGAGGCAGCAGUAGGGAAUCUUCCGCAAUGGGCGAAAGCCUGACGGAGCAACGCCGCGUGAGUGAUGAAGGUCUUCGGAUCGUAAAACUCUGUUAUUAGGGAAGAACAAAUGUGUAAGUAACUAUGCACGUCUUGACGGUACCUAAUCAGAAAGCCACGGCUAACUACGUG
rnacentral:rRNA from 1 species